UCUGGUAAUAAUGGCGUGAAGGUAACACCCGUUCCCAUUCCGAACACGAAGGUUAAGCUUCAUUGCGCCGAUGGUACUGCAGGGGAGGCUCUGUGGGAGAGUAGGUAGUUGCCAGGU
rnacentral:rRNA from 1 species